rnacentral:rRNA from 1 species
CAGAGGGUGCGAACGUUGUUCGGAAUCACUGGGCAUAAAGCGCUCGUAGGCGGCACCGCAAGUGUGGGGUGAAAUCCCACGGCUUACCCGUGGAACUGCCUGGCAGACUGCGGUGCUAGAGGAUGUAGGGGAGAGCGGAACUCUUGGUGGAGCGGUGAAAUGCGUAGAUAUCAAGAGGAACACCGGUGGCGAAGGCGGCUCUCUGGUCCAAACCUGACGCUGAGGAGCGAAAGCUAGGGGAGCAAACGGGAUUAGAUACCCCGGUAGUCCUAGCUGUAAACGAUGGGCACUAGCUUGGGGUCACCCCGUGUGAUCCCAGGUGAAGCGAAUGUGGUAAGUGCCCCGCCUGGGGAGUACGGUCGCAAGGGUG